rnacentral:rRNA from 1 species
AUUGAACGCUGGCGGCAGGCCUAACACAUGCAAGUCGAGCGGUAGAGAGAAGCUUGCUUCUCUUGAGAGCGGCGGACGGGUGAGUAAUGCCUAGGAAUCUGCCUGGUAGUGGGGGGAUAAACGUUCGGAAACGGACGCUAAUACCGCAUACGUCCUACGGGAGAAAGUAGGGACCUUCGGGCCUUGCGCUAUCAGAAUGAGCCUAGGUCGGAUUAGCUAGUUGGUGAGGUAAUGGCUCACCAAGGCGACGAUCGUAACUGGUCUGAGAGGAUGAUCAGUCACACUGGAACUGAGACACGGUCCAGACUCCUACGGGAGGCAGCAGUGGGG